UUGAUCCUGGCUCAGAUUGAACGCUGGCGGCAAGCCUAACACAUGCAAGUCGAGCGAUAACUAAACGGCGGACGGGUGAGUAAUAUCUGGGGAUCUGCCUAAUGACGGGGGAUAACUAUUGGAAACGAUAGCUAAUACCGCAUAAUGUCAAUUGCAAUUUAAAUUGACCAAAGGAGGGGAAUAGACCUUUCAUCAUUAGAUGAACCCAGACGAGAUUAGCUAGUAGGUAAGGUAAUGGCUUACCUAGGCUACGAUCUCUAGCUGGUCUGAGAGGAUGACCAGCCACACUGGAACUGAGACACGGUCCAGACUCCUACGGGAGGCAGCAGUGGGGAAUAUUGCACAAUGGGCGAAAGCCUGAUGCAGCUAUGCCGCGUGUAUGAAGAAGGCCUUAGGGUUGUAAAGUACUUUCAGUAGAAGAAGUAAUAAUUACUAAUAAUAAUUAUUAUUGACAUUAUCUACAAAAGAAGCACCGGCUAACUCCGUGCCAGCAGCCGCGGUAAUACGGAGGGUGCUAGCGUUAAUCGGAAUUAUUGGGCGUAAAGAGCACGUAGGCGGUAAAUUAAGUCAGAUGUGAAAUCCCUGAGCUCAACUUAGGAACUGCAUUUGAAACUAAUUAACUAGAGUAUCAUAGAGGGAGAUAGAAUUCCAGGUGUAGUGGUGAAAUGCGUAGAUAUCUGGAGGAAUACCAGUGGCGAAGGCGGCCUCCUGGAUGAAUACUGACGCUGAGGUGCGAAAGCAUGGGGAGCAAACAGGAUUAGAUACCCUGGUAGUCCAUGCCGUAAACGAUGUCGAUUUGAAAGUUGUAUUUUUUAAAAUGUGAUUUUCGUAGCUAACGCGUUAAAUCGACCGCCUGGGGAUUACGACCGCAAGGUUAAAACUCAAAUGAAUUGACGGGGGCCCGCACAAGCGGUGGAGCAUGUGGUUUAAUUCGAUGCAACGCGAAGAACCUUACCUACUCUUGACAUCCAAUAAAUUUCUUAGAGAUAAGAAAGUGCCUUCGGGAAUAUUGAGACAGGUGCUGCAUGGCUGUCGUCAGCUCGUGUUGUGAAAUGUUGGGUUAAGUCCCGCAACGAGCGCAACCCUUAUCCUUCGUUGACUCAAAGGAGACUGCCAGUGAUAAACUGGAGGAAGGUGGGGACGACGUCAAGUCAUCAUGGCCCUUACGAGUAGGGCUACACACGUGCUACAAUGGUAUAUACAAAGAGAUGCAGUCUCGCGAGAGGAAGCUAACCUCAUAAAGUAUAUCUUAGUCCGGAUUGGAGUCUGCAACUCGACUCCAUGAAGUCGGAAUCGCUAGUAAUCGUAGAUCAGAACGCUACGGUGAAUACGUUCCCGGGCCUUGUACACACCGCCCGUCACACCAUGGAAGUGGGUUGCAAAAGAAGU
rnacentral:rRNA from 1 species